AAAAAGUCCAAGGGAGCAAGCUUGGAGGAAACGCUGGGUUCAACUUGAAGCCCUUCCACAGACAUUAAGUCGGUGAAAACCAUUCACUAGGAGAGGAGAAACACAAUGGCCACCAAGACAGAGUUGAGUCCCACAGCAAGGGAGAGCAAGAACGCACAAGAUGUGCAAGUGGAUGAGACACUGAUCCCCAGGAAAGUUCCAAGUUUAUGUUCUGCUCGCUAUGGAAUAGCCCUCGUCUUACAUUUCUGCAAUUUCACAACGAUAGCACAAAAUGUCAUCAUGAACAUCACCAUGGUAGCCAUGGUCAACAGCACAAGCCCUCAAUCCCAGCUCAAUGACUCCUCUGAGGGGCUGCCUGUUGACUCAUUUGGUGGCCUAAGUAAAGCCCCAAAGAGUCUUCCUGCAAAGUCCUCAAUACUUGGGGGUCAGUUUGCAAUUUGGGAAAAGUGGGGCCCUCCACAAGAACGAAGCAGACUCUGCAGCAUUGCUUUAUCAGGAAUGUUACUGGGAUGCUUUACUGCCAUCCUCAUAGGUGGCUUCAUUAGUGAAACCCUUGGGUGGCCCUUUGUCUUCUAUAUCUUUGGAGGUGUUGGCUGUGUCUGCUGCCUUCUCUGGUUUGUUGUGAUUUAUGAUGACCCCGUUUCCUAUCCAUGGAUAAGCACCUCAGAAAAAGAAUACAUCAUAUCCUCCUUGAAACAACAGGUCAGGUCUUCUAAGCAGCCUCUUCCCAUCAAAGCUAUGCUCAGAUCUCUACCCAUUUGGUCCAUAUGUUUAGGCUGUUUCAGCCAUCAAUGGUUACUUAGCACGAUGGUUGUAUACAUACCAACUUACAUCAGCUCUGUGUACCAUGUUAACAUCAGAGACGUGAGUAUGUUUCCUUCCCUUCCUUUCUCCUGCUUGCAUGGCUGACCAAUUACUCUGCCCUCACUAAUCAUUCCAUCUGAGAAAUGUAUUUCUUAUUACCAAAAAUAAUCUAAUAUUUAAUACUCAUGCCAGUAGCUUUUCUGGGGUAUGAUUUAAGAGGUUACUGAUUUUCCUAAGAAAGUAUGAUUUCAGAAUGUCAUUAUUAUUAGUAGUAAUUUAUCAACAAAAGUUGUGGUCUCACUGCCUUUAUUAUGGCAAUUUACUCAAUCUUUUCUCUUUAG
rnacentral:sRNA from 1 species